rnacentral:rRNA from 1 species
GUCUUUAUGAAAAAAAUUUAAAGUCUAAUCUGCCCACUGAAUAAAUUUUUAAAGGGCCGCGGUAUUUUAACUGUGCAAAGGUAGCAUAAUCAAUAGUUUUUUUAAUUGAAGGCUGGAAUGAAUGAUUGAACAAAAAAUAAUCUGUCUUUUUUAUGAAAAUUGAAUUUUACUUUUAAGUGAAAAGGCUUAAAUAAUUUAAAGGGACGAUAAGACCCUUUAAAACUUUACAAAAGAAGGUAAUUUAUUAAAUAAUGUUGAAGUUAAUUAUUUUUAUUUUGUUUCGUUGGGGUGAUGAAGAUAAUUAAAUAACUGUUUUUAUAUUUAAAAUAAUUUUAAUUAGAGAUUAAUAUGAUCCUUUAUUUUUUAAAGAUUAAAAGAAAAAGUUACUUAAGGGAUAACAGCGUAAUUUUUUCUGAGAGUUCUUAUUGAUGAAAAUAGUUGUGACCUCGAUGUUGAAUUAAGAUUUUUUUAUUAGAGUGCAGAAGUUCUAAAUAUAAGUCUGUUCGACUUUUAAAAUCUUACAUGAUUUGAGUUCAAACCGGUGUAAG